UGGCGGCGUGCUUAACACAUGCAAGUCGAGCGGUAAGGCCCUUCGGGGUACACGAGCGGCGAACGGGUGAGUAACACGUGGGUGAUCUGCCUCGCACUCUGGGAUAAGCCUGGGAAACUGGGUCUAAUACCGGAUAUGACCACGAAUCGCAUGGUUUGUGGUGGAAAGGUUUACUGGUGCGAGAUGGGCCCGCGGCCUAUCAGCUUGUUGGUGGGGUAACGGCCUACCAAGGCGACGACGGGUAGCCGGCCUGAGAGGGCGACCGGCCACACUGGGCACGGCCCAGACUCCUACGGGAGGCAGCAGUGGGGAAUAUUGCACAAUGGGCGAAAGCCUGAUGCAGCGACGCCGCGUGAGGGAUGACGGCCUUCGGGUUGUAAACCUCUUUCGACAGGGACGAAGCGCAAGUGACGGUACCUGUAGAAGAAGCACCGGCCAACUACGUGCCAGCAGCCGCGGUAAUACGUAGGGUGCGAGCGUUGUCCGGAAUUACUGGGCGUAAAGAGCUUGUAGGCGGUCUGUCGCGUCGAUCGUGAAAACGUGCAGCUCAACUGCGCGCCUGCGGUCGAUACGGGCAGACUAGAGUACUUCAGGGGAGACUGGAAUUCCUGGUGUAGCGGUGAAAUGCGCAGAUAUCAGGAGGAACACCGGUGGCGAAGGCGGGUCUCUGGGAAGUAACUGACGCUGAGAAGCGAAAGCGUGGGUAGCGAACAGGAUUAGAUACCCUGGUAGUCCACGCCGUAAACGGUGGGUACUAGGUGUGGGUUUCCUUCCACGGGAUCCGUGCCGUAGCUAACGCAUUAAGUACCCCGCCUGGGGAGUACGGCCGCAAGGCUAAAACUCAAAGGAAUUGACGGGGGCCCGCACAAGCGGCGGAGCAUGUGGAUUAAUUCGAUGCAACGCGAAGAACCUUACCUGGGUUUGACAUACACCGGAAAGCCGUAGAGAUACGGCCCCCCUUGUGGUCGGUGUACAGGUGGUGCAUGGCUGUCGUCAGCUCGUGUCGUGAGAUGUUGGGUUAAGUCCCGCAACGAGCGCAACCCUUAUCUUAUGUUGCCAGCGCGUAAUGGCGGGGACUCGUGAGAGACUGCCGGGGUCAACUCGGAGGAAGGUGGGGACGACGUCAAGUCAUCAUGCCCCUUAUGUCC
rnacentral:rRNA from 1 species